rnacentral:snRNA from 1 species
UUCACUUCGGUGACAUCUGAUAAAAUUGAAACGAUACAGAGAAGAUUAGCAUGGCCCAUGCACAUAAUUAAUAUUGUAAUACAUGAUACAUGUAUUC